rnacentral:rRNA from 1 species
UACGUAGGGUGCGAGCGUUGUCCGGAAUUAUUGGGCGUAAAAGAGCUCGUAGGCGGUUUUGUCGCGUCGACUGUGAAAACCUACAGCUUAAACUGUGGGCUUGCAGUCGAUACGGGCAGACUUGAGUUCGGUAGGGGAGACUGGAAUUCCUGGUGUAGCGGUGAAAAUGCGCAGAUAUCAGGAGGAACACCGGUGGCGAAAGGCGGGUCUCUGGGCCGAUACUGACGUGGAGGAGCGAAAGCGUGGGGAGCGAACAGG